CCCUAUUCUUCUUCUCGAGUCUUCUCCUCUUUUCUUCUUGUUUCUACCGCAUAAUCACUUCCUCUACCUGUGUUCUCCCAUUCUCAAACAGCAGCAGGCAACAAAAAAAAAACGAGAAAUUAACCCUGGUAUUUCGUUCCAUGAGAGCUUUCGGGAACAUCCUCCAGCUCUAAACCUGGUGACAAACGGUGCUAAUUUUACAGUGAAUUGAUCAAGCUCUCCACCAGCCCUCUGAAGGAAGAUGUUGAACAAACUAACAACGAGGUUCAAUGGUCGCAUGGAGACGAACAAGAAACAUAAAUCUGUAGCCGAGGCGGAUUAUAAUUUAAUCUCUACUGGUCAAAUUAAGGAGGUUGAUGUUCCCCAGUUAGGGAGGUUUCCUAUAUUGGAAGAUGAUAAAGAGCACGCUUCUACGGACAUCGCAGGUGCAGACGAUCAAAAAUUUAAGUAUCAACAUCGUGGAUCCCUGGCAUCGGUAAUUCAUCACUAUCAAACUCCAAGACCGCUCUGGAUUAUUAGGUAAUUGAAGUUCAAUAUCAGCUUUGAUACAAGUCCACAACACCGCUUCUGUUUGAUCAGUUCCAACACCAGGAUCUUGAGAUAUUGAUAAAUGAAUUCUACAUAUCGUUACAUUUUCGAUUGUUGAAAAAUUUGGACCUCGUGCUACUCGUGGUGACAUUGUAAGAUUGUUGAAAAAUUUGGACCUUUUGCUACUCGUGGUGCCAUUGUAAGCGAUUCAAUGAAAAAAUUCUAAAUAAUUUGAAAGAGGAAAUACUUCUUCUUAUUAUUC